rnacentral:piRNA from 2 species
GUGACAAAGUAGAGUUAGUGAAAAGACA